rnacentral:lncRNA from 1 species
CAGGGGAAGGCAGAGGAAGCUCUGAAUCCGCCCAAAUAGAUGAAGGAAACGUCAAAGUGGCACAACAAAAGCCGGUGUGAUGGAUGCCCUGGCUGCAAAGGCUGCCGUCAGCACACCAAACCUCCAUCCGUCAGAGGCACCCACUGACUUUGACUGAACUAGCAAAUGCGAUUCAGUUGAGGAAAGAAGAGUAUGAGUUUAGUGAAAAGGAAAAUGCUAACUCGAUCUCGGUAUUCUUCAGCUUGGCUCAAAAUUAUCCUGACAAUGAAGAAGUUCCAAGUGACAAGAAACCACAGUGACAAAGGAGAAGACGCCAGUCUGUUUCCCCACUGUCUCUGACUCAAGCAGCUCGUGUGCUGGUCGGGCCAGCGAAACAAGCGUGCUCACCCCCGUGCUGCAGCGUGACAGCGAGACAAGGAGAGGCCGAGCCCGUGUGCACGGAGCACAGCAAGGCGUCUUCCAGAGGAGUGCCUUUGAGUCGCCCAAGCACCAGGAAAAUCUCCUAUGCUUGCCUUGGGAUGAGGUUCAAUUACAAGUGACUGGAAGCCCCAUAUCACAGAAGCUUAAAAAAGAGAAGUUUAUUUCUCUCUCGGGUAAAAAUCCAGGUAGGUGCCCAGGGCUGGUGAG